GUAUGUUAGGGUGAUCUGGCUGUGACAUCUGUCACCCCAUUGAUCACCAGGGUUGAUUCGGCUGAUCUGGCUGGCGAGGCGGGUGUCCCCUUCCUUCCUCACUGCUCCAUGUGUUUCCCUCCCGAAGCUGCGCGCUCGGUGGAAGAGGACGAUGUCCCUGGUAUAGAAGGAGUGAACCAAGGUCUCUAGUCUUUGGUCCCAGCAGGCCUGUAGCGAGGGGGGGGGGUGUUUAGGGGUUCAAUCCCCCCCCCGAAAUUUUUCAGGUUAAAAAAAAACCUGGUUUACUCAUGAAUUUUAACUGGUUAACCAAAUCCCCAU
rfam:Anolis carolinensis chromosome Tnknown cont2.37171, whole genome shotgun sequence.